rnacentral:rRNA from 1 species
UACGUAGGGGGCAAGCGUUGUCCGGAAUCAUUGGGCGUAAAGCGCGUGUAGGCGGUCCGGUAAGUCCGCUGUGAAAGUCGGGGGCUCAACCCUCGAAAGCCGGUGGAUACUGUUGGGCUAGAGUACGGAAGAGGCGAGUGGAAUUCCUGGUGUAGCGGUGAAAUGCGCAGAUAUCAGGAGGAACACCAAUUGCGAAGGCAGCUCGCUGGGACGUUACUGACGCUGAGACGCGAAAGCGUGGGGAGCAAACAGG